rnacentral:rRNA from 2 species
UACGUAGGGUGCGAGCGUUGUCCGGAAUUACUGGGCGUAAAGAGCUCGUAGGUGGUUUGUCACGUCGUCUGUGAAAUUCCGGGGCUUAACCUCGGGCGUGCAGGCGAUACGGGCAAUACUUGAGUGCUGUAGGGGAGACUGGAAUUCCUGGUGUAGCGGUGAAAUGCGCAGAUAUCAGGAGGAACACCAAUGGCGAAGGCAGGUCUCUGGGCAGUUACUGACGCUGAGGAGCGAAAGCAUGGGUAGCGAACAGG